rnacentral:rRNA from 1 species
CAGUAGCGUAUGCUAAAGUUGUUGCAGUUGAAAAGCUCGUAGCUGAAGUUUGGGGUUGGAUGGCAGGGUCUGCUCUGUUUUGAGUGUGUACCAGCUAUUUCCUUCUCUUCCUUCCGGAUUUGCUUCUCCCGGCCUUCGCGGGCCGGGGUUACUAUGGGGCUCCGGAUCUUUCACUGUGAAAAAAUUAGAGUGUUCAAAGCAGGCCACUUUUAUGCCUUGAAUAUUUCAGCAUGGGAUGAUGAAACAGGUCUUUGCGUCUAUUUUCAGUUGGUUUCUAGAAGGCGAAGAAAUGAUUAAUGGGAACAGUUAGGGGAAUUUGUAUUUUAUAGUCAGAGGUGAAAUUCUUGGAUUUAUGAAAGACAAACUUCUGCGAAAGCAUUUUCCAGAGAUGCUUCCGUCAG